GACAGAGGGUGCAAACGUUGUUCGGAAUUACUGGGCGUAAAGCGUGUGUAGGCGGCCAUUCAAGUCGGAUGUGAAAGCCCCGGGCUCAACCCGGGAAGUGCACCCGAAACUGGAUGGCUUGAGUAUCGGAGAGGUUGGUGGAAUUCUCGGUGUGAGAGGUGAAAGUUCGUAGAUAUCGAGAGGAACACCGGUGGCGAAGGCGGCCAACUGGACGAAUACUGACGC
rnacentral:rRNA from 1 species